GAUGAACGCUAGCUACAGGCUUAACACAUGCAAGUCGAGGGACCGGCGCACGGGUGAGUAACACGUAUCCAACCUGCCCUUUACUCGGUGAUAGCCUUUCGAAAGAAAGAUUAAUACCCGAUGUAAAGGAUGGGGAUGCGUUCCAUUAGGUUGUUGGUGAGGUAACGGCUAACCAAGCCUUCGAUGGAUAGGGGUUCUGAGAGGAAGGCCCCCCACAAUGGAGCUGAGACACGGUCCAAACUCCGACGGGGGGCAGCAGUGAGGAAGAUUGGGCAAUGGGCGUUAGCCUGAACCAGCCAAGUAGAGUGAAGGAGGAAGGCUUAUGGGUCGUAAACUUCUUUUAUAUAAGAAUAUGUAUUAUAUGAAUAAGGACCGGCUAACUCCGUGCCAGCAGCCGCGGUAAUUC
rnacentral:rRNA from 1 species